rnacentral:rRNA from 1 species
CCUACGGGGGGCAGCAGUGGGGAAUAUUGCGCAAUGGGCGAAAGCCUGACGCAGCGACGCCGCGUGAGGGAUGAAGGUCUUCGGAUCGUAAACCUCUGUCAGCAGGGAAGAACGGUCACUGUGCUAAUCAGCAGUGAAUUGACGGUACCUGCAAAGGAAGCACCGGCUAACUCCGUGCCAGCAGCCGCGGUAAUACGGAGGGUGCGAGCGUUAAUCGGAAUUACUGGGCGUAAAGCGCUCGUAGGCGGUAUGUCAAGUCAAGGGUGAAAUCCCCGCGCUCAACGUGGGAACUGCCUUUGAAACGGGGAAACUGGAGUGUGUGAGAGGAUAGGGGAAUUCCAGGUGUAGGAGUGAAAGCCGUAGAUAUCUGGAGGAACAUCAGUGGCGAAGGCGACUAUCUGGCACAUAACUGACGCUGAGGAGCGAAAGCGUGGGUAGCAAACAGGAUUAGAUACCCGAGUAGUC